rnacentral:rRNA from 1 species
GCGUCCCUGGGCGCAAGCCUGAUGCAGCCAUGCCGCGUGUGUGAAGAAGGCCUUCGGGUUGUAAAGCACUUUCAGCGGGGAGGAAGGGAGUAAAGUUAAUACCUUUGCUCAUUGACGUUACCCGCAGAAGAAGCACCGGCUAACUCCGUGCCAGCAGCCGCGGUAAUA